rnacentral:rRNA from 1 species
UGGGGAAUAUUGCACAAUGGGCGGAAGCCUGAUGCAGCGACGCCGCGUGGGGGAUGAAGGCCUUCGGGUUGUAAACUCCUUUCGACAGGGACGAAGCGUAAGUGACGGUACCUGUAUAAGAAGCACCGGCUAACUACGUGCCAGCAGCCGCGGUAAUACGUAGGGUGCGAGCGUUGUCCGGAAUUACUGGGCGUAAAGAGCUCGUAGGUGGUUUGUCGCGUCGUCUGUGAAAUUCCGGGGCUUAACUCCGGGCGUGCAGGCGAUACGGGCUGACUUGAGUGUUGUAGGGGAGACUGGAAUUCCUGGUGUAGCGGUGAAAUGCGCAGAUAUCAGGAGGAACACCGAUGGCGAAGGCAGGUCUCUGGGCAGUAACUGACGCUGAAGAGCGAAAGCAUGGGUAGCGAACAGGAUUAGAUACCCUGGUAGUCCAUGCCGUAAACGGUGGGCGCUAGGUGUAGGGGGCUUCCACGUCUUCUGUGCCGUAGCUAACGCAUUAAGCGCCCCGCCUGGGAGUACGGCCGCAAGGCUA